UAGGGAAUAUUGGUCAAUGGGCGAAAGCCUGACCCAGCAACGCCGCGUGAAGGAUGAAGUAUUUCGGUAUGUAAACUUCGAAAGAAUAGGAAGAAUAAAUGACGGUACUAUUUAUAAGGUCCGGCUAACUACGUGCCAGCAGCCGCGGUAAUACGUAGGGACCAAGCGUUGUUCGGAUUUACUGGGCGUAAAGGGCGCGUAGGCGGCAAUUCAAGUCAUCUGUGAAAUCUCCGGGCUUAACUCGGAACGGUCAGAUGAUACUGCUUUGCUAGAGUGCAGAAGGGGCAAUCGGAAUUCUUGGUGUAGCGGUGAAAUGCGUAGAUAUCAAGAGGAACACCUGAGGUGAAGACGGGUUGCUGGGCUGACACUGACGCUGAGGCGCGAAAGCCAGGGGAGCAAACGGGAUUAGAUACCCACGUAGUCCCUGAGCGGGCUGGCAAGGCGCAU
rnacentral:rRNA from 1 species